GAUGAACGCUGGCGGCGUGCCUAAUACAUGCAAGUCGAGCGAACAGACGAGGAGCUUGCUCCUCUGACGUUAGCGGCGGACGGGUGAGUAACACGUGGAUAACCUACCUAUAAGACUGGGAUAACUUCGGGAAACCGGAGCUAAUACCGGAUAAUAUAUUGCACCGCAUGGUUCAAUAGUGAAAGACGGUUUUGCUGUCACUUAUAGAUGGAUCCGCGCCGCAUUAGCUAGUUGGUAAGGUAACGGCUUACCAAGGCGACGAUGCGUAGCCGACCUGAGAGGGUGAUCGGCCACACUGGAACUGAGACACGGUCCAGACUCCUACGGGAGGCAGCAGUAGGGAAUCUUCCGCAAUGGGCGAAAGCCUGACGGAGCAACGCCGCGUGAGUGAUGAAGGUCUUCGGAUCGUAAAACUCUGUUAUUAGGGAAGAACAAAUGUGUAAGUAACUAUGCACGUCUUGACGGUACCUAAUCAGAAAGCCACGGCUAACUACGUG
rnacentral:rRNA from 1 species